UAACGCUUAGUCACCCACUGAUGAAUGCCUGAGUUUCCUUCCUUUGAAUUUGUUUUGGUGACAGAAAUACCAAAGGGCAGGAGAGGUUGGCAGAGUGUAAAGGCGUAUUUGGAGGCCCUUUGGAGGCAGCAGUGGGAGAGGGGAGGAGAGUCCAACCAAGGUUCUCAUAUUGGGAGAAUUCAGCUGCUAUGUCAUGAGGCAAUCCCAUGGAGAAGCCAUCAUGUGAACUUGGAAGUAGAUCUUCUGGGGUCCUCCAGAAGUCAUGUGAAUGUGCUUGGUAAUAGACCCCCUCCAGCUGAGCCUCAAGGUGACUACAGCCCUUGCCAACAUCUUGAGUUUAGCCUGGUGAGAUAUCCUGACCCAGAACCAUCCAGGUUGACGAGAUGGCCAGAGGCAAAGCCUUGGAGGUGAGCAGUGCAGCCAUGGAGCCAUGAAGCAGCCCUGGGGAGUGUGAAGCUAGCGAGAAGAGACACUAGUGCCUGCGCUGAUGGGGUGUGCGGUUCCUGAGGAGAGCGUGGCAGGUGUGGAUGGAAGGAAGCACAUCAAAAUUCCCCUGAAGAGUUGUCAAAUACCCAUCAUGAUGAGAACCUGCUGCUUAUCGCCUCCCUGACCCCUACUCUCCUGUACCCUUCCCCUGAAGGUGUGUUCAAGGCCAGGGGAGUUGUGUGCAGGUGAAAAGCCAGCUGCAACGGAGUCCCCAGAGGAGGAGGAAUAUAAGAUGCUGGAAAGAACAGACAGCUAAUGGCUCAGAGCCCAGAGCGAGGGGACGAAAACAAAUUCACAAUUUAAGGAAGAGGGAUUCAUUUUGAAAAGGAAGAUGAAAACUGCAUCUUCUGGGAAGAUUGGAAGCAAGUGGAUAAAAAUAAGGAUAGUUUUGGAAGCAGAGAGAAGAGUAUGCUAAAAAGCAAAGUGAAAGUAACUGUCAUUGUUGACCAAUUCCUUGUCAGCCAUUAUGCUUAUUGUUUUACACACAGGAAGCCUAACCAUCACAAAAACCCUAUAGGGUAGAUUUCCUGUCUGUUGCUGCUGUGAAGACCUGGCCAAAAUGGGGUUAGUAACUUUCCUGUAGUCACACGGAUAGUAAAUGAGGGAGCUGAGACUGACUCCUGCUCUUUCUGGUACCAAGGUCCAUAGUCUUUCCACUCAGUGAUAUUGGGGUAGACAUUGGGAAAGUUAAGGGAGUUUUUACUGGAUGGUUUUUUAUUGUUGGUGCAAUAGGUGUUGAAAUGAAAACCCAUGACUUGAAAGGUCAGGGCGCAGGCGAAUCAGAGUAAGGAAUUUGGAUUUCCCCUUUUAUGAAUUACAGUCAGACCUUUAUCAUUAACUGUGAAACUUCCUAUCUUAGACUUUUUCCUUUUCCUUGUUUGUAAAAGAAAGGAGUUGGAUUUUCCAGACCUUAGAGUUCUAAGUAUUUACAAAACCCCAAGGUGUGAAGAUGCUGUGCGUGUGGAGUGUGAGAUGAGUUUUAGAGCCAACGAGCAGCACUGGGAGCCCCUGAAGGCAGAGAGCAUGUUGCGUCCUCAGAGUUGGGUGACUUGCAGCUGUGAAUCAGUGAAAGGGUCCACGUGAAGAAGUUAGCUGGAGAAGAGAUGAUUGCCGGGGAAAAGGCCGAAAGGACUUUGAGGACAUGAGGCCAGCUCAAAGCUGGGGUGUUGGAAUGGUGAGCAAAUCAGGAGUAUAAAGGUGACCCAGUUUGCUAGUUAGAGCUAUGCUGAAAUGCCUGCUCGGAGAGUUUGGGUUACCGGUGAGAACAAAUGAGACACAGAGGGACUGAUGGAAGGAGAAAGAACAAAAGUGUUAAUGGGCUGGAAAUCAAAGGAGGUCAAACUGCAGAGGGAGAGAUGAUAUGCAAAGAAAUAGUGGAUGCUCUUGGAAAACCACUUUCUGAUUCUAACAUGGGAGGUUUUACCAAGUGGUCUGUACAAAUUCUUCUAGCUCUACCUAAUAUUUGAUGAGGGCAGUGAACCUUUGGUGAAUAAAUGACUUCCUUACCACCUAAAGAAAGUGUCACAAGGAGAUCUAAGCUUUAGUUUGGAAAUGCCUCUAUUUUUUGAAGAUUCUAAACAGGUCACUAAAGCAUAUCACUUUGUGAGAAAACAUCUUAUGUUAUUUCCUUUUAUUUUUUGAGAAAGUGAUAAGUAAUAAAGACUGAGUGAUGACAAAUUAGCAAGCCACUUCUCCAUUGUAGGCAACAGAUCCACGACUUUUGAAUGAAAAUGUUACAGCCUUUGCAUCAUUGCCUUGUAUGAAACAUACAAUCUUUCAAUCCUUCUAAACAUUCUUUCCCAGAUCUUUGAUUGCCACAGCCUAAUUUUGUUUGUUCACAUGACACUUAAUUAAGAUGAUAAAUACCGUAUCAGGUCGGUAGACAUUCUUUUACCUUGACACUAGAACA
ensembl:lncRNA